rnacentral:rRNA from 1 species
UACGAGGGGGACGAGUGUUAUUCUUCGUGACUGGGCGUAAAGGGUGCGUAGGCGGUUAUUUAAGUUUAAACCAAAUAAUCUUGGCGUAACCUAGAAAUUGGUUUUUAUACUAUAUAACUAGAGGUCAGGAGAAAGUUAGUUGUAUUCUUAGUGGAAGAGUGGAAUUUAUAGAUAUUAAGAGGACAUCCAUAGGCAAAAGCGACUUGCUAGAAUGAUGCUGACGCUGAGGCACAA